rnacentral:rRNA from 1 species
GACGAACGCUGGCGGCGUGCUUAACACAUGCAAGUCGAACGGAAAGGCCCUGCUUUUGUGGGGUGCUCGAGUGGCGAACGGGUGAGUAACACGUGAGUAACCUGCCCUUGACUUUGGGAUAACUUCAGGAAACUGGGGCUAAUACCGGAUAGGAGCUCCUGCUGCAUGGUGGGGGUUGGAAAGUUUCGGCGGUUGGGGAUGGACUCGCGGCUUAUCGGCUUGUUGGUGGGGUAGUGGCUUACCAAGGCUGUGACGGGUAGCCGGCCUGGGAGGGUGACCGGCGACCAUGGGACUGAGGUACGGACCAGACUGCUACGGGAGGCAGCAGGGGGGAAUAUUGCAGAAUGGGGGGGAGCCAGAGGCGACGACGCCGCGUGCGGGAUGACGGCCUACGGGUUGUGAACAGCUGUCGCCUGUGACGAAGCGUGAGUGACGGUAAUGGGUAAGGAAGCACCGGCUAACUACGUG